GAUGAACGCCGGCGGCGUGCUUAACACAUGCAAGUCGAACGGGAAACCUUUUAUUGAAGCUUCGGCAGAUUUAGCUGGUUUCUAGUGGCGGACGGGUGAGUAACGCGUGGGUAACCUGCCCUAUACAGGGGGAUAACAACCAGAAAUGGUUGCUAAUACCGCAUAAGCGCACAGGACCGCAUGGUCCGGUGUGAAAAACUCCGGUGGUAUAGGAUGGACCCGCGUUGGAUUAGCCAGUUGGCAGGGUAACGGCCUACCAAAGCGACGAUCCAUAGCCGGCCUGAGAGGGUGAACGGCCACAUUGGGACUGAGACACGGCCCAGACUCCUACGGGAGGCAGCAGUGGGGAAUAUUGCACAAUGGGGGAAACCCUGAUGCAGCGACGCCGCGUGAAGGAAGAAGUAUCUCGGUAUGUAAACUUCUAUCAGCAGGGAAGAUAGUGACGGUACCUGACUAAGAAGC
rnacentral:rRNA from 1 species